rnacentral:rRNA from 1 species
AUGGAGUUCAGAACACUGUCUGACACUGAGUUGGAGCUGCGGCGCACGCUGAAACAAAAACUGCUAGGGCUGGCCUCCCUGCAGCGAUCCAUUUCUAGGCAACGAUCCUGGGUGCUAUGGCUCAAGGACGACGACGCUUGCACAAAGUUCUUCCAUAACCAUACAAGCCACAGGAGGAUAAAGAACUUCAUAUCGAAGCUCAAAGUUGAUGAUGUGAUUACAUCUGAGCAUGAUAAGAUGGCG